rnacentral:lncRNA from 1 species
GGAAAAGGUAAUAAAAUGCCAUGAGUCAUAAGACUUUCUGAUCAGUAGCUUUUCUUGAGAUUUACAGGAUCCAGAACCUCUGGUGGCUUACCAAUAACAGUAACCUAUGUAUCUGACAAGCACCACUCUAAAUCUAUAACGACCCUACCUCUUAUGUGAUAUGUCUCCUCCAAAUCCUAUGAAAGCCUUGAGCCUGCGAACCUUAAGCAAGAUGAUAUUUUUAAGGACAAGAAACCCCAUCUUCCAACUUGCUAGCCUGUUGCCAGUAAAACUCUUUCUUCCUCCCUCACCUAUCUCUCAAAUGUUUG